rnacentral:ncRNA from 1 species
CGCUCUGCGGGAGGCGAUGACGCGCGGUCCGCCUGGUCUGGAUCGCCGGGGCCGCGUCGAGCCAAUGGCGAACCCACCCCGCCAUCG